UUUCAAGGAUUUCAAAAUGUUCGAUUCACGUUAAGAAUUGCUUUGUGGAUCUGCAUUGCUUUAGAUUUCUAGGGUUCUUCGUUUCAGUCCAUCUUCUUCCACCGACAGUGGAAAUCCAGCCAGUGACGAAUAUUGCCAGUCAUGGAAGCCAUCGUCCGCAUCGAAUCAGUUCCAGUUCUUCUCCCCUGCUUUAGAAAGCUGGCACCGUUACGAAACUCCACGCAAUCAAUCAUUGUCAUUAACCUUCUAAUUGACUCCAUCUCCUC
rnacentral:lncRNA from 1 species